rnacentral:rRNA from 1 species
CAGCUAGUUGGUGUGGGUAACGGCCCACCAAGGCGACGAUAGGUAGCUGGUGUGAGAGCACGACCAGCCACACGGGCACUGAGACACGGGCCCGACUCCUACGGGAGGCAGCAGUGAGGAAUAUUGGUCAAUGGACGCAAGUCUGAACCAGCCAUGCCGCGUGAAGGAUGAAGGCGUUCUGCGUUGUAAACUUCUUUUAUCUGGGAAGAAACCUGAAUUUUCUAAUUCAGCCGACGGUACCAGAGGAAUAAGCACCGGCUAACUCCGUGCCAGCAGCCGCGGUAAUACGGAGGGUGCAAGCGUUAUCCGGAUUUACUGGGUUUAAAGGGUGUGUAGGCGGACUUUUAAGUCAGAGGUGAAAUCUCCGGGCUCAACCCGGAAACUGCCCCUGAUACUAUUAGUCUUGAAUAUUGAUGAGGUGGGCGGAACGGGUCAUGUAGCGGUGAAAUGCUUAGAGAUGACCCGGAACACCAAUUGCGAAGGCAGCUCACUGGGCAAUUAUUGACGCUGAGGCACGAAAGCGUGGGGAUCAAACAGGAUUAGAUACCCUGGUAGUCCACGCCCUAAACGAUGAUUACUGGACGUUGGCGAUAUGACCGAUCAGCGUCUCUGAAGCGAAAGCAUUAA